UAAUACACUUGAGCAUCACAAAGCUCUCACGUUGACUUGGUAACAAUUCAGGAGCCGCAGCUUUGGAAAACAAUCUCUACAGAGCUUAUGUUCUUUAGUGAAUUUUAGGAUGUUCACACCUAGCACCUUUGGAAAUACAGGCUCGGGGUUUGGUGGUUUUGGAUUAACCUCCACAACUCCAGCAUCAGCAAACCCUAUGAAAGAUUUUGAGGUUGUGAAUCCUCCAGAUGACUCAAUCCAAUGUAUGGCAUUUUCUCCUGCUUCAAUUUCUCAAGACUUUUUAGUAGCUGGCAGCUGGGACAAUAAUGUGAGU